AACGAACGCUGGCGGCGCGUCUUAAACAUGCAAGUCGAACGGCAGGAAGGGGCUUGCCCCUUCUGAGAGUGGCGGACUGGUGAGUAACACGUGGGUGACAUACCUUUUAGUUGGGAUAGCU
rnacentral:rRNA from 1 species